rnacentral:rRNA from 1 species
AUGAAUGAUCAGCUGUCUCUCUUGAACUGGAAUGUUAGGGGACUGAACGAUUCCGCGCGGCGCGCGUCAGUCCGCGCGUUCAUUGAUCAGUCUGCAAGUUCAAUUAUCUGCUUGCAGGAAUCUAAGCUUGCAGCCUGUUCGGCGGCGGACCGGCUAGAGAUCCUGGGGCCGAGGUUCGAUAUGCAUGCUGCCCUUAAUGCUAACGGCACCAGAGGAGGGAUCCUU